UUGGACCUACGGGGGGCAGCAGUGGGGAAUAUUGCACAAUGGGGGAAACCCUGAUGCAGCGACGCCGCGUGAGUGAAGAAGUAAUUCGUUACGUAAAGCUCUAUCAGCAGGGAAGAAAUACUGACCUUACGGUCAGCAGACGGUACCUGAGUAAGAAGCCCCGGCUAACUACGUGCCAGCAGCCGCGGUAAUACGUAUGGAGCAAGCGUUAUCCGGAUUUACUGGGUGUAAAGGGAGCGCAGACGGCAGGGCAAGUCUGAUGUGAAAGUCCGGGGCUCAACCCCGGGACUGCAUUGGAAACUGUC
rnacentral:rRNA from 1 species